UCAAACUUGGUCAUUUAGAGGAAGUAAAAGUCGUAACAAGGUCUCCGUUGGUGAACCAGCGGAGGGAUCAUUACAGAGUUGCAAAACUCCCAAACCAUUGUGAACGUUACCUUUUAUCGUUGCCUCGGCGGGCGGCCCCGGGAUUCUCCCGGAGCCCCUCGGCCCUCACGGGCGCCCGCCGGAGGUAUUUAACUCUUGACAAUUGUAUGGCCUCUCUGAGUCUCUGUACUUUAAUAAGUCAAAACUUUCAACAACGGAUCUCUUGGUUCUGGCAUCGAUGAAGAACGCAGC
rnacentral:misc_RNA from 1 species